GACGAACGCUGGCGGCGCGCCUAACACAUGCAAGUCGAACGAGCGAGAGAGAGCUUGCUUUCUCGAGCGAGUGGCGAACGGGUGAGUAACGCGUGAGGAACCUGCCUCAAAGAGGGGGACAACAGUUGGAAACGACUGCUAAUACCGCAUAAGCCCACAGCUCGGCAUCGAGCAGAGGGAAAAGGAGCAAUCCGCUUUGAGAUGGCCUCGCGUCCGAUUAGCUAGUUGGUGAGGUAACGGCCCACCAAGGCGACGAUCGGUAGCCGGACUGAGAGGUUGAACGGCCACAUUGGGACUGAGACACGGCCCAGACUCCUACGGGAGGCAGCAGUGGGGAAUAUUGCACAAUGGGGGAAACCCUGAUGCAGCGACGCCGCGUGGAGGAAGAAGGUCUUCGGAUUGUAAACUCCUGUUGUUGAGGAAGAUAAUGACGGUACUCAACAAGGAAGUGACGGCUAACUACGUGCCAGCAGCCGCGGUAAAACGUAGGUCACAAGCGUUGUCCGGAAUUACUGGGUGUAAAGGGAGCGCAGGCGGGAAGGCAAGUUGGAAGUGAAAUCCAUGGGCUCAACCCAUGAACUGCUUUCAAAACUGUUUUUCUUGAGUAGUGCAGAGGUAGGCGGAAUUCCCGGUGUAGCGGUGGAAUGCGUAGAUAUCGGGAGGAACACCAGUGGCGAAGGCGGCCUACUGGGCACCAACUGACGCUGAGGCUCGAAAGUGUGGGUAGCAAACAGGAUUAGAUACCCUGGUAGUCCACACUGUAAACGAUGAUUACUAGGUGUUGGAGGAUUGACCCCUUCAGUGCCGCAGUUAACACAAUAAGUAAUCCACCUGGGGAGUACGACCGCAAGGUUGAAACUCAAAGGAAUUGACGGGGGCCCGCACAAGCAGUGGAGUAUGUGGUUUAAUUCGACGCAACGCGAAGAACCUUACCAAGUCUUGACAUCCUGCGACGGUGCUGGAAACAGUACUUUCCUUCGGGACGCAGAGACAGGUGGUGCAUGGUUGUCGUCAGCUCGUGUCGUGAGAUGUUGGGUUAAGUCCCGCAACGAGCGCAACCCUUAUGGUCAGUUACUACGCAAGAGGACUCUGGCCAGACUGCCGUUGACAAAACGGAGGAAGGUGGGGAUGACGUCAAAUCAUCAUGCCCUUUAUGACUUGGGCUACACACGUACUACAAUGGCGUUAAACAAAGAGAAGCAAGACCGCGAGGUGGAGCAAAACUCAGAAACAACGUCCCAGUUCGGACUGCAGGCUGCAACUCGCCUGCACGAAGUCGGAAUUGCUGGUAAUCGCAGAUCAGCAUGCUGCGGUGAAUACGUUCCCGGGCCUUGCACU
rnacentral:rRNA from 1 species